AUUGAACGCUGGCGGCGUGCCUAACACAUGCAAGUCGAGCGUGAUUGUUAAGAGUGGAGACUUCGGUCAAAGCGACUAACAUGAAAGCGGCGGACGGGUGAGUAACGCGUGGGCAACCUGCCCCAUACACGAGGAUAGCCACUGGAAACGGUGAUUACUACUCGAUAAGACCACGACAUCGCAUGGUGAUGUGGCCAAAGAUUUAUCGGUAUGGGAUGGGCCUGCGUCUGAUUAGCUAGUUGGUGAGGUAACGGCUCACCAAGGCGACGAUCAGUAGCCGACCUGAGAGGGUAAUCGGCAAAAGUGGGACUGAGACAAGGCACAAACGCCGACGGGAGGCAGCAGUGGGGAAUAUUGCACAAUGGGGGAAACCCUGAGGCAGCAACGCCGCGUGAAGGAAGACGGUUUUCGGAUUGUAAACUUCUAUCAACGGGGAAGAAAAAAAUGACAGUACCCGAAUAAGAAGCCCCGGCUAACUACGUGCCAGCCGCCGCCGUAAUAC
rnacentral:rRNA from 1 species